rnacentral:misc_RNA from 1 species
CCGAGUUUACAACUCCCAAACCCCUGUGAACAUACCACUUGUUGCCUCGGCGGAUCAGCCCGCUCCCGGUAAAAACGGGACGGCCCGCCAGAGGACCCCUAAACUCUGUUUCUAUAUGUAACUUCUGAGUAAAACCAUAAAUAAAUCA